GCUGGCACUGCCGAAGCACCUACGCCACGUCAGGCACUUGACACAGCCCCCAUUUCAUUUAAUUAUCUCCACAAACCUGCACAGCAGGAACUCUCACUCCCAUUUCACGGAGGAGAUGAGGACACAGGCUCAGGAGAAGCCCGGAGCACAGCACGCCCUGCCGGAGGUCUUUCAGCGGCCCCAGCCCGGGACCUCCAGCCACACGGGCCUCCGAGCCUCGCCGGCCGCUCUCCCCUGAGAGUUGACAAGUGGGUCUUCCCUGACAUCUCUCUUCCUCCCCGCUUGCGCUUCUCGUACCUCCCUGGCUUCAGCCGAGCUGCCCCCUCCGCCUGGAAUACCCUUCCCACACUAUUCUGGCAGAAAGAACUGCUACGCAUCCUUUACUUGGUUCAGACUUCUGGCCUCCUGGAAAUCCUUCCCACCCCCACCCAUAGGUCACCAGCCUCUGCUGAGCUGAUUUAGGAUCAUAGGAUCUUAACAAAGUGUCGUUAUCUGAGUGAUCCUGUUUCAGGCCUGCCGCAGUCCCUUUUCACCUUGGACAGUCAUUUUUGACUUUAGGUCUGGUCCCCAACGUCUCCACCUGCUAUGGCUCCCCGUGGUCUGAGGCUCAUGACCCCACAACCCUACUUGAGUAGUUUGACUCUGCAGGAGAAAGCUGGAGGGGUAGGGUGAGGGGAGCCACAGCUGGGGCAAGUGUACACCUGGAGUGAGUUGGGGCUGAGCACUGCCCCUGGGUGCCCCCAUCACCCAGAAGGGCCUCUCCUGCUCAGCCUGACAGCUCUGGUUUAUCCACCACUGAAAGAACCAGCAAGCCCCUACAGGCCCUCCCGACAGCGCCUCCAGAAACAAACCUGGCCCAGCCAUGUGGUUACCCUGAUCUGAUCUGCCAUGAGAAAGGUCACAAACAGGGACUGGAUCUCAGCACAGAGGGCUGCCAGCAACAGUUCCCGAGCCCCCUCCCCCCAUGUUCCAGCAGGACAGCUGUCACAAAGUCCAGCUUUCUGCUGGGGAGGAGACAAGCAAGUCCCCAUGUGGCCAGCUAGACCCGCCUGUGAGCCUGUGAUUGUUCUGCCACAGGUAAGGCAGGGAAAGAAAAGCUCAGAGCUUGGGGCUGAGUGGGUGAAUAUGUCAGAGAAGGGCCUUUUAGGGCCAAGCAGCCUCUGGGCUUGAUCCAGAAUAAAAUCACUCACAGGCUUCCAGGCGCAACACACACACACACACACACACACACACACACACACACACACAGUGGCUUCCAGGCGCAACACACACACACACACACACACACACACACACACACACACACACACACAGUGGCUGCAAAUCCAAAAUUUAAGGAGCCUUGUGGGUCUCCACAGCCCCAGGUUGGCUGAAUGCCUGUGAAUAGGGUGCAUGGAGAGAAUCUCAAAGGUCCAGGAGGUAGGUUUGGGAAAAAACUGGGUCUCAGAAUCUGGGCUGCACACUUAGAGCCUAGGAUACCUCUUGGCUUGUUUUCCCACUUAGGGCUGCAGGCCCCCAGCAGCCUUCUCUGUAGAUCUAUGCUCUAGGAUUGUGGGUAAUGCAGUCCACAGAGGCCAGGCUCCUAGUGAUGCUGCUUCCUGCCCUCUCCUCCCCUCCUCUCAGGCCCCUGACAGCCACCCGCCUUCCUGCUCCAGGAGGAGGGCAAGUCAGAGUGAGGAGGUGGGCUCCUUGCAGGGAUGGGAGAUCCCAGGCUGGAAACCAGUGAGCUAUUUAUGAUUGAGCUUAGCCAAGGGGCAAGGUGUGAGGGGAGCUCCUGUAGGCUGCUACAGAAUUUGCAGGAACCCCAGGCCUCUGCUUGGGUAGGGCUUUUAUUCUCUUCUGUGUGCAGGGUCCUUGAUUCUUUUUUUUUUGAGACGGAGUCUCACUGUGUCACCCAGGCUGGAGUGCAGUGGUCUG
rnacentral:lncRNA from 10 species